CUGUGUAUUGGAGUCUAUUUGCAUCACAAAUUUCUUUUGCUUAAAAUACCACUUACAUAAGACCUUUACAUUAAAACGCAUUAGCAAAUUUCAAACAAAGCCAUAAAAAUGUGAAUGACAGUUGCUCCGUGUUUUUACAUUUUAUUCAUCACAAACAUUAAGAUGCUCGAGAAAUGCUGGAGAAAGGCCUUUUAAUAACUGAUGCGAAGCUGAGCCCUAGGCGUGUGCUUGCUCCCCCCUCCCCCCCUCAACAUGCACUAUCAGUUAUCGUCACAUGGGCUGGGCUGAUCGAGAGUCACAGUUGAGUUUCAUGAGUCUCUCCCUGUAACUGAAAACAAUUUCACCAAGUGCACACAACUAUGGCAUAAACCCACCGUUCUCAGUGCCCAGGCUGGUACAUUUACACAAUAGCAAACAUAAAAUCUGAGUCUGUAAAGCAUCGUAUGUUAAAUUACACAAACCAGGAUUUCGUUUUAACUGUAUUUAUGAAAUCUGCUGCUGAGUCCAAGCAUGUAGGUACAAACGACACCUGGAUGAAGCUGGAUAUGGAAGGAAGGCCUUCAGUAGGUCCAAUGAUGGGAGUCUUUCACUCAUCCCAAGUAUCUCCAUAUUUGUUUACUUUGACUAGGAAAAAAGCACAAAGAACUGAUGAUUCCAAACAAUCACAGACACCACGUGAACUCUGCUAUGAUGAUGAGACGCUGUGUUUGCACUGGAUGAGUAAGACCCUCUGAGAGCCAUCUGUAGUGGGGCUGACUACAAAGGACCUAUUAUCAGACUACAGAACCGUGCAACCCCCAUUUUACAGGUGAGAAAGCUGAUUAGUAACUUGCCCAAGGUGUAAGCCUUAACAAGAACUGAGAUUUAAAGAUCUGUUUUAAGUCCAAUGUCCGAAUGUUUGCCUUUAGAAAUUUACCUAAAUGAAUAUGGGGUACAUACCAAAACACAGUUACCAAGAAGUUACUUAAAAAAAAAAAAAAGAACAACUAAUAAACUAGAAUUUUGCUUUUCAUAAAAAGUAAUACAAGUAUAAUUAAUCUUGCCUAUCAAUUGUUAAAUGACAAGGAGAAACCAUUUCCCAUACUCUGGCAUCUCACACUUUAAAUUUCAAACUCACUCCUGUCUUCUGUCGGCAGCUCUGAUGGAAGCCAGGGCGUCCCUCGGGCAGCUGGGGCAGUAUCCUGAGCUACACCCAGCCCUAUUCCCUGCACUCCUUUAGUUUCUCUUCUCCAGAGCCUCCAUCUGUGAGUUAACACCGAUGGCGAAGCUCAGGUGAUUCUAACAAUGCAGAGAUGAGGCUCUUCUGAGUCUAGAAGUCACAUUCAAAUCACAGUCCAUUGCCCCAGUGUUCUAUCAGUUUGCUUUGUUCUUUAUAAGCAUACGGUAUUUUUCUAGAACCAUACCUAUGAUGUGUGGUGUAUUGCUCUGUUAAUACGCUUUCUAUCUUCAUUUCUAGUGAAAUAAAUACUAAUAUAAAUAAUCCAAAUAAAGCUCAGUUUUUGUUUUGCAUUGUUUUUUGAGACAACAGAGCUUCUUGUCUGUGUAACAGCCCUGGCUGUCCUGGAACUCACUCUAUCAACCAGGCUGGUCUCAAACUCCAGAGCUCUAUCUGCCACUGCCUCUGCCUCCCCAGUGCUGAGACUCACAGCGUGAGCCACCAUUGCCCAGAUAAAAGCUCAAAGUAUUAAUACUUUCAAUGAUUCUGAGUCUACACUGUACCAAUGUCCAAAUUUCUAUCUAGAUUUAAGAACAUUUUAGAAGAAUAAAAAUCACAAUUUCAUAACAGGUCUUUUCUUUAAAUUGUAAUAUUUUUAAAGCACAAGAAAAUCCUCAAUUUUUCUCCUAGAAGGAAAAGAGCUGUUUUCCUGAGCCUUAUUACUGUGUCACGGAACAGCAACCUAAGAACGCCCAGCUCAAGCUCCACAUGCCAAAUGGAGCAAAUGCCACAAGUACACAAAGCUUUCCCUAGCCUCUUACACUAAAACCUGAGUAAAAUAAAAUAAAACACAGUGGUUCUUGUCUGACUCAUGAGUGCAGAUGUAUCUGUGAGACACGGAGUAAAGAAGCAUAAAAAGAGGCAGAAAGCUUCCUGCCCUCGUGUGUGCGUCAGGAUUACACGCAGCCUCUGUCAGCCAGCACAACCUACAGUGGGGCCACAGCGGCAUUCCAGGUCUCAUAUCUACUCCAAAGGUACAGAGUUUUACAGCAACACUGAGAUGCCUCAAGGCUGCAGAAGCAGCUGUAAGAUAAGCAGCUGUCAGCAACCAGACAGACUUGGCUGUAAGUUACCAAGGACUGCUGUGCAGUUUUGCACUUUGCCAUACAUGGCCCUCCAGGAGGCAUUAAGACUUGUUCCUGCCUUUGAUAGUUUAUUUACCCAUUACAUAUUUAUUACUUUGUUGUGCUAUAUAUAGAAACCAGGGCCCUGUGCAUUUCUAACCACUUCCCUCAACUUUUAAAUAAGCGCACAGAAAAACAUGGGCCAGCCCUUGACAUUCUUUAGAAGUCAUAAAAUUCUAAAUAAAAAUGGUUAUUAAAAAUGUGUCCAAAGUUUUACUUUUUGAACAUAUUGCUGUCCAACAAAAUUAAAUUAUAACUUAAAGUUUAUUAAUUAUAGAGAAAAAGUAAAAUUCCUCCUCUGGAAAAGCCAUAAAAGCCUGCCUGUAAGAUGUAUAAGCCUUUCAAUUACACAAACGUACAAUAAAGCAUCUUACUGCUCAAUUGUGACUCCAUAAUUUUGCUCGAAUACCAUUACUGGACAGUCAUCAGCCUCUGUCGCUAACCCUGGUUAGGCAGCAGACACACUCAAUCAUUAGGGAGAAGGUAUACGUUCCCAAGGUGAUUCUCUGUAAGGAAGAACACUGUACUAAGAGCUGCUUUCCUUGUUCUGUGUCUCUCUAACUAAGGUUUGUUUUCUUGCACACAACAUUCUUUGAAAUACCUUAAAGUGGAAACUGUGAAAUAAGUAACUUAAAAAAUUAUUAGUUGGCAGUGGUGGCACGUGCAUUUAAUCCCAGCACUCAAGAGGCAGAGACAGGCAGAUCUCUGUGAGUUUGAGGUCAGCCUGGUCUAGAGAGUAAGUUUUAGGAUAGUCAGGGCUACAGGAAAAAAACCUUGUCUUUAAAAAAAAAAAAAAGUUUGUUAUUAUUUAUGUCAAAUGUUGUGUGUUGCAUCAUGUCAGAGUUCAAUUUUCUGAAGUUGGUUAUUUCUCUCUAGCAUCCAUCAGAUCCCCAGGGACUAAACGCAGGUCAUCAGGCUUGGUGGCAAGUGGCUCUACCUGCUGAGUCAUCUCACCCACUCUUAAGUGACUAUUCUUCUAAAAAUAAUUUACUUUGGUAAAUAUCUUGAAGAGUUAGACAUAUUAACAUAAUAACAUCUUAAGCUAAAACUUCAGUUUCCAAUCUAGAGUCAUGAGUAGACUCAACUGUCAUCAUACCUUCUUUUUUGGGCACUCUUUCCUGCAUGGGCCUGACUGAGGGGUCAGUCUUGUGGGGUAAAGUUACUCCAUAGGACUCUCUGUUCUUACUCCUUAAUUCCUCAUAUGUAACACCUUUUCUUUUGGGACUUUCUUCAAGGUUGGGCUCAGGUCCUAAAACAACAAACAGUUAAUAAGUGGUCAUAAGAAAUGGAUAAAUCUAAAGUGACUAAAUUUUGCAAAUGCCUUUUACUUAAAACUGAAACAAAAAGAUAAAAUAUAAGACCAAACUAUUGCUACCAUUCCAAGAUACUAGAGGCGUCUUACAAGAGAACUACAGAAGGAGAUCCCUUCUCCCCUGUGUUUCUAAAAUUUAAGAUUAAUGUUGAAAUGUUUAUAAACGUAGCCAUGCCAGAAAAAGAAUAGUGAUUAUAAGAUCUAACAGCAUGGCUUUAACUUACUAAGUGCUGCAGUCAUUAUGCUACGUAUAGAGUCAGAGAGAGUCUACAGUCAUUAUGCUACGUAUAGAGUCUACUGGUCACAACGGAACAAAGCUUGACAGUAAAUCAUAUUAAUAAAUCUAUGGGCACAUACAACUUAAAAAAUUUUUAUGGAUGUUUAUGGUAUUUGAACAAAAAUACUUAAAAUAACUAUUUCAUGGUAAGAACCAGCCUUUAAGCAGAGUGGGCCUCAUUCCACCAGUCUGACUCACAAUACUGAGGUGGAGGAAAAGGGCAACUUCAGCCACUUGCUCUCUCCCUACCAAAGAAAGCUCACGUGUGAGCAGCAUCAGAAACAACCCCGUGGACUCUGUAGUUACUGACAGGUCAAAUAUGCAACACAGUCUACGUGUAUACAUAGCUAAAGGGCCAUACAAACAGUUCAAAAGCGUAACUGAUGAAGACAUUCAGUGCCUGUCCUACUCAAGUUCAUACACCACACAGAAAGUACUUUCCAGCAAGUCGGUCCACCAACUAGUCAUGUUAUUUUAGCAAUAUACACACUAAAUUUUGAAUCAAUUCUUAUAAAGGGUAUUAAUUUAAAGCUCCAGAGAAUAAUCAGAAUCUUUCAAGCAACGAGAAUUAAGUAGCACUUUCAACUUUAAUCUUUUAUUUUGGUAAAUUAUACUAUAUCAAUAUAAAACAGGAUUUCAACUGGUAAUUUGCUCUAAUAUACCAUGAUUAGAAACUAAUAUUUUCUGGAUAAAAAGAAAAAUAAUCUUAAUUUAGAAAAUGAUCUUAUAUUCAUUUUAAACAUUUGAACUGCAUUAGUGGUAAGCAAUCAAUGAACUCAUUUCCCCUCCCAAGAGGUAUCUUUAAAGUCCUGAUGUAGUCAGGACCACUGGGUCUGCAACCCUCACUUGACUAGCCAUUGGCACAAGUCCUUGGGCAAAUCACUAAGCUUCUCUGAGCCCUGUUUUCUCCAAUUGUGAAAUAAUGUGAACACAUGACCUCUAGAAUUCCUUCCAGGUCUUUUUCUUAUGCAAAAAAAGAAAAACAUAUUUUUCUGAUGUUUUGUGAUAUAAACCCCCACACAAGAUUGGCAGAGAUUUCACAUUUUCUCCAUGUGGAAAGCUGACUGAAAACACUAUGGCAGGAUACUGAGAACAUACUUUACAGCUCUGUGCAAGUUACUAAGACCUGGAAGGAAUAAGAAAGCCUGUAACAGCAAUGGCUAGAACUAACCAACAGGUAUGGCAGAAUGCCUUCUAAUUGAAAAGAUCACUAAGUCUUUGGAUCCUUGAAAAAGAGCUAACAAGGGGGCAAACAAGUCUCCAGCAAAAGUAGAAGGUGUCUUGGAAGGGACAGCAGCAUCUGGGCAGAGCACGGGGGAUAGGGGUCCUGGGGGUUGGGGGGGGAGGGUGACAUGGCAGGGACGGGGGACAGGGAUGGAUCCACAGGGGCGACACUGGUGAGUGCUAAGUUUGAUCUGGAGGGAGGAUGACAACACACUCACAACCCCAUAGCUGGACAGAUGAAUGGCUGCCUCGGAGGUCAUUAGUCAUAUUAAGUAUGGAUCUUUCUCACUUGUGGGUAAAGACCAAAGAGACUUUUAUCUGCUUUUACAUGGAAAAACUUAGAACACAAGAUUAUGCUGAUGAAAAUGGCAGGAAGGAUGCACAUCACUGCAACCAAGGACCUGGGCCAGCCUAAAAUACAAGGUGAACAGGUCUGAACUGGACUGGAAAAUGAAACACAGACAAAGGACAAGAGCUGCCUUCAUAGAAAGCUGGUGUCUCAACUCCUCCUGUUCCUGGAAUAUACUUGGUAUCUUUGAUCCCAACCAGAAGAACACGGGGGCCACCUUAGGAUUAAGGUAUUCAACAACAUUCCCCUGAGCUCAAGCCGCUCAUCUUUUCUGCAACAGCUCCCCAACCCCACCCCAUCUUCAGUGACAGUAUUCUGCACUGCCACAUCCAAACCAAGUGUCACACACAGGCUAAUAAUGAGCAACUGAAAUGCUACCAAGACAACAAAAGAUAACUUUGUAUCUCCCUUAGUUCUAAUUAAUUUAGAGAGCCAUACUGUGGAUCCUCUAUGCUCAGAGAUACCCAGGCCCUUUGGCGCCAUCUUAAGCACUCCCUAACCUAUCAUCGGUUUCUCAUUUUCCACUGCACCCUCUCCCCACUCCUUCAUCUGGAUGUAAAUUCAAUCUAGAUUCCAAAAGACAAAACAAAGCCAAAACCAUAACUGUUGCUAAAUUAGCCCUCGAAAUUAUUGUCAAGAUGUAGCCUACAAAGUUCUACAAUAAUCCAAGACAUCUGAGCUAAGAUGUCAUAAACUUUAGAAAAAUAUUAUCAUAUAUAAUAUCCCCACACUGAAGGUCAGGAUGCGAAUGAAAAUAAGUAAACAUAUCAAGCAUUAUAACAAAACAUGGGAAAAAACUACUUUAAAUAAACAAAGACCGCAUCAUGCGUCCCAGUCCUAACUUCUGGUUUCCACAACUCUUGGUGUUUUAGGUUUUUAGAUAAAGAACUUCCUUCUUUUCACUGUAGAGUAGAAUGAAAGGAAGAGAUCUAAUAUUUGCUGACUGCCUACUAGCAUUGUGUCCAAUUACUUCAUCAAAUCCCAACAGUUCUCUGAGAAGCAUUACCACCUCCAUUCAAAAUGCAAAUAUACAUUAGUUUUCUGAUGACUCAUUACAAGAUCAGAGCAAAUUUUAAAUAAUUUAGAUGUCAGCCUUAAUCUAAGGUUUUUACCUCACGUUUGCACCCUGGACUUUGUAUUUACACAAACUUUGCAACGGAUUUUAAGUGGAUUUUCUUGCAUGACAACAGCUAUCACUUUCUUUACAAUUUUAGACUGGAAACUGAAAGUCAAAUCUAUAACCUACACCUUCCUGAAGCCUCUGCUCACCACAGGCAGAGCCAUCACUUCUUUGCUGAUUGUGAACAUUCAGCCCUGGGCAAUCUCUAACUGUCCCAUCUACUUCUGUAGCCUAAGACAAACUAACAAGAAGCCCAAACUGACAAAGCAGGCCUUGCCCAUCUUUGUUCUUUCACACCUAGCCAAGUAUGUUGGAUGAAUGAAGAGACCAACAAAAAGAGCAGACAUGCUGAGUCAGGCUGAUGGAUGAAGUUAGGCUGACAGCAGACAGUAGCAGAGGUGAGAUCCAGCAGAAAAGAGCAUCAAAUAAAGUGUAUACAUACGUUGGACCAUAAAAUGCUGAAAUUCAUUUCAAGAGAAGUUUCUACCUUGGGCAAUAUGGUCAGUAAUACCAGUGGGAGUGGACUCGUUCAUAGAAGCACUAAAUGGAAUUGGCUCAUAACGAGGAAGCGCCUCCUUUUCUAUGUUGUCUGCUGCUGGAGAUGUCCCGAAAGAGGACUGACCACUCACAUUUGAGUCAAAUUUAGGCUUUUGAGUAU
rnacentral:lncRNA from 1 species